UGCUCGGUACGCGACUGGCGAUAGGCGGCGUCCUGAUGCAUCAGGACGUGCUGCUGAAGUGGGCACACCACGGGGGAGCGUACCGCAAGACCUGUCACGGUUUUGUGAUCAGCCGUUCGCCUGGGCACCUUAA
rnacentral:ncRNA from 2 species